GGACCCGCACAAGCGGUGGAUGAUGUGGUUUAAUUCGAUGCAACGCGAAAAACCUUACCUACCCUUGACAUGUCUAGAAGUUACCAGAGAUGGUUUCGUGCUCGAAAGAGAACUAGAACACAGGUGCUGCAUGGCCGUCGUCAGCUCGUGUCGUGAGAUGUUGGGUUAAGUCCCGCAACGAGCGCAACCCUUAUCAUUAGUUGCUACGCAAGGGCACUCUAAUGAGACUGCCGGUGACAAACCGGAGGAAGGUGGGGAUGACGUCAGGUCAUCAUGGCCCUUAUGGGUAGGGCUACACACGUCAUACAAUGGCCGGUACAGAGGGCUGCCAACCCGCGAGGGGGAGCUAAUCUCAGAAAACCGGUCGUAGUCCGGAUCGUAGUCUGCAACUCGACUGCGUGAAGUCGGAAUCGCUAGUAAUCGCGGAUCAGCUUGCCGCGGUGAAUACGUUCCCGGGUCUU
rnacentral:rRNA from 1 species